CAGAGUUCGUGCCCUCACGGGUAGAUCUCCCACCCUGUGUUAUUAUACCUUUGUUGCUUUGGCGGGCCGCCCUCGGCUACCGGCCCCGGCUGGUACGCGCCCGCCAGAGGACCCCAAACUCUGAAUGUUAGUGUCGUCUGAGUAAAAUAUUUAAUAUUUA
rnacentral:misc_RNA from 1 species